UAGCGCGCUUGGUGAAUACGGGCCGGCGGCGCCCGCGCGGGGGGUGCCUGUAAACAAUGGUGCCCCCCCUGCGCCGCGCUCCCUUACCGAUUCCUCCUCCUUCUCCAUCCCCGUGGGCAUCUGCGGCACGGCCCGGUUGAUGGAGACGCAGUCGUUGAGAAUCACACAAUAUUUAGGGUUGGAAGGGACCUCUGGAGAUCAUCCAGUUCAACCAGGGGCACCCAGAGCAGGUGAUACAGGAAAGCAUCCGGCAAAUACAACUACCGUUCUUGACAAACACAUGAUUUACAAAAUGAAGAAUAAAGAAUUGUGUCAGCUAGAGAGAGAGAGAAGGCAGAUGAAACAAGCACAGUAAUACACAGGAGGCAAAAAGAAAGAGGAAGAACAUUACGUUCAUCAGCCACGGACCCAAAUUAGCUUGGGAAAGAGAUGUGGAAAUUGGAUUAACUCCUAUGAAAACAUCAGGGAAUUAUUAGUGCCCAAAGGACUCACCUGCAGCAUGGACCUGGAUGUGGAGGUGGCUGGAAAAGCCUUUGUUCCCCAUCCCACUCUGUACCUGGUUUAGCUCCCUUCCCAGCUGGGCCCAACCCACGGCUCAGCCCUGGAUCAUUCCCUCAUCAGGAUCCAUUCCUGCCUGGAAUUCUGAAACACCAGUGACAGUGGUUCUCUUGGACUUGUGUCAACCUGUGCCAGUGCUUUCCUGGGAUCUGGACACAGGAAUAUGUGAGGAUGCUCUUGCUCUUCCUUUCCCCACCCUGCUUUGUCCCGUUUUUGCAGCUGACACCAGCCAAAGGUUUUCUGUCAGAACACGAAGAAAAUCCACUGGAAUAAAUGAAAAGAUUUUCGUUGUUGUUCCGUUUAUGGUGUUCACAAAACGCACCAUAACAGAAAGAGGAAUUAUUUCCUUUAAUUUGAACGUCAUCUGAAUGACUCAACCACAUUGUCACCCACUCAGCAAAAAGAAAGCAUAAUAAAUAAAUAAAUAAAUAGACAAGAAUACGUAACACUUUUACAUCCUCAAGGAAUCACGUCGUUCCCUAAAAUCUACCGAGGUCCUGAUCGACGCCGUGGGCUCGCUGUACUCAGCCACUUCACUUUGGGGUGAUUGUGCCAUAUUAAUGACAAAUAAAGGGGUGUUCCACUUGCCACAAUGGAGUAUUUUUCCUUUUUUUUUUUUUUUUUUUUUUUUUUCCCCCCCUCCUCCUUUUAAAUAUAGGAAUUCUCUCUUAAAUUAGAAAGUAGGCAAAAAGUACUUUUUUUUUUUUUAAAUUUUCCUUUUUUUUUUUUUAAGUCUUCUAUUAGAAAAAAUAGAGAUUUCUUAAACAAAAAAAUAAUAAGGUAGAAAGAGAAGGGUUGGGCCUCCAUCAAAAAAGUAGAUUAUGCUUUAAUGCAAAGAGAAAGAAAUGGCUCUACGGGCAAAAUUCAAGUAUGAGUGACCAGUUUUUUUAAUUGUAAAGUCGGUGCAACAUUUUUUGAAAAUGUUACAACACUGCACGACCUGUAACGCUCACAAUAUUUACAGGAACUGCUUACACGAAACCAGGAAAACUCGGCAAGAGAGGAGAAAAAAAAAAAAUCGGUCUGGACUGAAAGCAAACUACUCCUGCCCCCCCAGCAAUGCCGUCAUCCACCGAGGGGAGCCACGGAAACACCGGGGAGCACAACACCUAAACGCUCCCAGGAGCUUGGACACAGCUCUGGGAUGGGAUGGGAGGCAGCGGGGGCUCAGGGAGCCACGGACACGCCCGAGGGACACCGGCGACCGGAGCGACGCGGGACGGAAAAACGGGAGCCACUGCACCCCAAAACAGCGGGAAUGGGAACCCAGCGGAGCAGGGCCAUGGAGCUGCCCCAUGGAGCUGCCCCAUGGAGCCGUGGGGUCCCGUCCGGGCCGGAGGGGACGAGCCCGGAGGAGCCCAGAGUCCAACCUACAGCAUCCUACCGGAAAAGCUACGGAAAGCAAAAGCAACCGACGGCUGCGGCCUUGGAAUUCUCCAGCAGAGCUGCGAUCCCACAUCCCAU